CCUACGGGAGGCAGCAGUGGGGAAUAUUGGGCAAUGGGCGGGAGCCUGAACCAGCCAAGUCGCGUGAAGGAAGAAGGUACUGAGUAUUGUAAACUUCUUUUGUCGGGGAACAAAGGCGGAGACGCGUCUCCGGAUGAGUGUACCCGAAGAAAAAGCAUCGGCUAACUCCGUGCCAGCAGCCGCGGUAAUACGGAGGAUGCGAGCGUUAUCCGGAUUUAUUGGGGUGAAAGGGUGCGCAGGCGGGAGAUCAAGUCAGCGGUAAAAUGUCGGGGCUCAACCCCGGCCGGCCGUUGAAACUGGUUUUCUAGAGUUGGAGAGAAGUAUGCGGAAUUCGUGGUGUAGCGGUGAAAUGCUUAGAUAUCACGAAGAACCCCGAUUGCGAAGGCAGCUUACUAAACUGUGACUGACAUUGAUGCUCGAAAGUGUGGGUAUCAAACAGGAUUAGAUACCCCUGUAGUC
rnacentral:rRNA from 1 species